rnacentral:rRNA from 1 species
AGCGAACGCUGGCGGCAGGCUUAACACAUGCAAGUCGAGGGGAGCGGCAGACGGGUGAGUAACGCGUGGGAACGUACCUUUUGGUUCGGAACAACACAGGGAAACUUGUGCUAAUACCGGAUACCGAAAGAUCGGCCCGCGUCUGAUUACCUAGUUGGUGAGGUAAUGGCUCACCAAGGCGACGAUCAGUAGCUGGUCUGGGAGGAUGAUCAGCCACAUUGGGACUGAGACACGGCCCAAACUCCUACGGGAGGCAGCAGUGGGGAAUAUUGGACGAUGGGGGAAACCAUGAUCCUGCCAUGCCGGGGGAGUGAUGUAGGCCCUAGGGUUGUAAAGCUCUUUUGUGAGGGAAGCGGUACCGCAAGAAUAAGCCCCGGCUAACUUCGUGCCAGCAGCCGCGGUAAUAC